rnacentral:rRNA from 1 species
AGUGAACGCUGGCGGUAGGCCUAACACAUGCAAGUCGAACGGCAGCACAGUAAGAGCUUGCUCUUACGGGUGGCGAGUGGCGGACGGGUGAGGAAUACAUCGGAAUCUACUUUUUCGUGGGGGAUAACGUAGGGAAACUUACGCUAAUACCGCAUACGACCUACGGGUGAAAGCAGGGGAUCUUCGGACCUUGCGCGAUUGAAUGAGCCGAUGUCGGAUUAGCUAGUUGGCGGGGUAAAGGCCCACCAAGGCGACGAUCCGUAGCCGGUCUGAGAGGAUGAUCAGCCACACUGGAACUGAGACACGGUCCAGACUCCGACGGGAGGCAGCAGUGGGGAAUAUUGGACAAUGGGCGCAAGCCUGAUCCAGCCAUACCGCGUGGGUGAAGAAGGCCUUCGGGUUGUAAAGCCCUUUUGUUGGGAAAGAAAAGCAGCAGGUUAAUACCCCGCUGUUCUGACGGUACCCAAAGAAUAAGCACCGGCUAACUUCGUG